rnacentral:rRNA from 1 species
UACAGAGGUCCCAAGCGUUGUUCGGAUUCACUGGGCUUAAAGGGUGCGUAGGUGGUGAGGUAAGUCCGAUGUGAAAGCUCCGAGCUCAACUCGGAAAUUGCAUUAGAAACUACCUUGCUAGAGGGUUGGAGGGGGGACUGGAAUUCUCGGUGUAGCAGUGAAAUGCGUAGAUAUCGAGAGGAACACCAGUGGCGAAGGCGAGUCCCUGGACAACUCCUGACACUGAGGCACGAAAGCUAGGGGAGCAAACAGG